GUCUGAAUGGCUGGAGCAUGACAGAUGUUUGUGCAUGUGUGACUCCCCACUGGCCCUACCACCGUCCCUGCUAGUCUGUCCCUGUCAGGAACACUCACCUGGGUCCUAGUCAGCAGUAACUGGUGCCCAGGUGGCUUAUGGGAAGUGUCCAGGAAACUGGUGGUGCUCAGUGGAUCUUUCCUGAAUGGACCUCAUAGGCUUCACAUGAAAGAGAAACCGAAGUGUCCUCUCAGCCCCGCCCCACCCUUUCACGCCGGGUGGGGUGAGAGCCAGAACCAUGUAAACCGUCACUGACGCUGAGUCCUCAGGAGACCCUGCGAGGUAGGGGUGAGUUGUCACACUUUCCAGAUGAGGAGGCUGACUCAGGAAGGACAGGCGUUCGGCCCGAGGUCACACAGCGAGAGUGUUGGAGCUAGGAUUGUUCUAGAAUCAGAGUGUGCUGGAGGAUGGAGUAGCAUGGGUACCAGCUGACUUGGUUCAGACGUCCAGGGCUGAGGUCAGAGGGGCUGAGGAGAAGUGGGGUGAGGGGAGGAUGGCCUCCUUGACCCUGUCCUCAAUCCUGGCAGAAGCAGCCCUCCAAGUUUGCCACCCUGCUGAGGACCCUGCAGAGAGGCCGGAAGAGGCAGCAGCAGCAGGGCAUCGUCCCCUUCCUGGGCACCAUGCUAACUGACCUGAUCAUGCUGGACACUGCCAUGGAGGAUUACGUAAAUGGCAAUGAGAUCAACCACGAGAAAAAGAAAAAGGUGAGCAGCUGUGGCCUUCCAUGUCAGGGAGGAGAGGGGCGUGGAAACCAGAGACGCCCCUGGGCGGAACUCUCCUGGGCACCACCCGCUGCAUCUUACAUUUACUGAGAGUGUUGGAUGACAGAGAAU
rnacentral:lncRNA from 1 species